CCGUCCUAAUUUUUCUUCGUUAUCGACCGCUUUUCAAGGAAGACCACAUGCAUCAGCAGCAGCAGGGUGCGGCGCUGUCCAGCUCUCACGAUGCGGCGCCCCUGCAGCCGCAUCUACCAGAUGAAAGUGUUGAGGACAGCACUUCUUCUGUUCGGAUCGCGGACGGUGUCUCCGUGAUGAGGGCGAACUCUAUGAACAGCCUCUUCAGCUUCAGCCCCUCCGGUGAUUUUACGUGGUGGUCGGGGACGAUUCCGGGACUGCUGGCUUGCUGUGCCCUAGCCUCCAUGAUUAUCAUUGGUGUCUGCUCCAGUCAGCGCAGGGCACCGGCGGUGCUGGCGCUCAUGAGCGCGCAGCAGUGUUCGUUUCUCUCGUCAUUGCAGCCGCCCGUGGCCUACAUGGCGUGGAUGAAUACGUGCGGUGCUGCGCAUCGAGGCUAUGCCUACCCCUGUAUGAGCCAGGUAGACUGCGUCGUGCUGGGACCUCGGUGUGCCCCCCCUAGCGUGCUGCCGCAGCUGCUCUGCGUCAAUACCGGUGCACGGGCAGAUCAUCACCCUGUGUGCGCGUACCCCACUCCAUCGCCUACCGAUGCACCGAAACAUUCUGGAUUUUGCACUGAGCCUGGGACGUCGUGCGCAAUCUGCGCAGCUGAAACGUGUCGUUCGACAACUACGUUGUCUGGACUGGUGGGGUGUCCGCCGACCUCCGCGUGCAACAGCGACUCGUGGUUGUGCAACCCCCUCUGACCACCACAAGCGUACGUGCUUACCUGCACGGGAUGCCAUUGACGAUGCCCAAACGUCGGAAACGUGGAAACCUAAGAGGAAUUACAGCUGGCGAUGCUGUUGCAGCCACUGGCUGCCCGGACGCACACGAGCGCGUGCGUGGCGGUAGAACCUCGCCGCCGCACAACCCCCUUCUCCCUCCCUUUACUACAUCGCCCCAG
rnacentral:misc_RNA from 1 species